ACUUGCACAGUUGCACGGUUGCACGGGCCAUCGAGAGCAACAAUGAAUGAUUUACGAAAUUAGAUUUUGCCAAUUCGUUCGAAAACCUCGAAGGAUAUGACCCUUGUUAUGAUGUUUGGARAKRWMMKWKWUGMMUGAUAAGCCUUUAAAGUNAAAACGAAUAGCUAUGCUAAUUUGUUUGAAUAUAGGGAAACCUUUCUCUAAGGCUAGAUAUGAUAUAUAAGCGAUGAAGUGAGAANGUACCGUGAGGGAAAGAUUCCAAAUAGUAGUUUUAUAANGCAGCUCAAGUAAAUUGAAAAUAAGAGCGUACCUUUUGCAUAAUGGGUCAGCAAGUUAAUGUUNAGAUGCGAGAGGGGUAUCGAAUAAAGUAAAACUUAUAGAAUUUAAUAUAGUNAUUAUUUUACGAUUUUAUAUUAGAGAUAAUAUAAUUUUGUAAAGCAUUUACAGUUAGAUAUAAUAUAAAGAUGAAAUUAUUAGAGUAAAAUAAAAUGAUCCUUCAUCAUGAGGGACGGUUAGGUAAAGAAUAAAUAUUUUUCUUACUUAAGUGAAAAAAUCAAUUUUCCUUUUCCUAGAUAAACCAAUUAUUAAAUAAUGAAUAAGUAUCUAAUAUUAGACCCGAAGCCUAGUGAUCUUACCAUGAUCAGGAUUAUAAAAGUCCGAACGGGUGAUUGUUGCAAAAAUCUCCGAUGAAUUGUGGUAAGUUAGUGAAAGACAAAACUGACUAGGAUAGCUGGUUUUCCGCGAAACCUAUAUAAGUAGGUAAUUCAAAUAACAUCAUAGCAGGUACAGAACUGUGAUCUCAGACAAGUUGUGAUUUUUAUCACUUUGUAUAUAUCGGGGGAUCGUGAAGAUUUUAUCGGUGAGGAUUUGCUCUCGGAAGGGCAAUGAUGAAUUUUGAAUAAUCGGACAUAGUACGAUAAGGUUGUAUGUCUAAAGGGAAACAGCCCAGAACAAGUGUUAAGGUUCCAAAAUUAUUGUUAAGUGAAAAUAAGGAAGUUUUUUUCGUAUACAACCAGGAAAUAGGCUUAGAAGCGGCCAUUUUUUGAAGAUCUCGUAACAGAGCACUGGUUUAUUUUUUAGUUAAAAGCACCAAAAAUUUAACGGAUCUAAACAAUAUACCGACACCUUGUCCAUAGAUAAGUUAAAAUAUCUAUGGGGUAGCGGAAAGUUGGGCAUGUCUUAGAUUUAAUCUUUUCAAGAUUGAAUAAUAGAUUAUUUAUUAAAAAAGAUAAAUUUACAUGUAGAUAGCGCAAAGCGGAAGAAACAUGUGUAUAAUCUAGAGAUUACCCCAAGUGAGAAUGCUGGCAUGAGUAACGAAAAAGGGAUAUCCCCUCGCCUUAAGCUUAUGGUAUAAAGAAAGUAACGGCCUCUAAGUUUAUUAAAUUAUCCUAAAGGAUUGAACGAUGAGAAAAUCUUUACAUAUUUAACAACUUUAUCAAAUUAAUUAAAUAAAAAUUUAAAAGUGGAUAAAGUUCUGGAAAAAAAAUAUGAAUUAAACCGUACCUAGAAACUAACACAAGUAAGCGAGUAGAGUAUACGAAGGCGUUUGAGCUAACAAUCAUUAAGGAACUCGGCAAAUUUACACCGUAACUUCGGGAUAAGGUGUGCCAUUUUUACUACAUAAUAUUAGUUUAAAAAUAGGAGGCAUAGAAUGGUGUUGUACGACUGUUUAAUUAAAACAAAGCACUUUGCAAAAGAUGAAUAAUCAAAGUAUUGAGUGUGAUUUCUGCCCGAUGUUGGCUGGUUAACGGAUUUUCUUAGUUGACUAAAAUAAACUAGGUUUUGAAGGAUACCCCAAUCAAUGGCGGCCUUACCGAUGAGGGUCCUAAGGUAGCGGAAUACCCUGGCCGUUAAAUGCGGUCUUGCAUGAAUGAUUUAACGAUACAACAGCUGUCUCAAUGAUUGACUCAGUGAAAUUGGAAUAACUGUGCAGAUACAGUUUACCUCUAGUUAGACGAGAAGACCCUAUGCAGCUUUACUGUUGCUAGUUAUUGGAUAUGAUGGAGCAAGUUGUAGUGUAUAAGGUAAUUGAAAAGAUAAAAUUGAAACACCUUUACUUAGCUUAUCAUAUAAGUAAAAUAAUGAUUAUUUAUUAUAAUCGUAAAGUUUACACAGCUUAUCCAAAUAAGAGGAGCAUUUUUAAUAGUGCUCGGGAAACAGUUGCUAGUAGAUAGUUUAUGCGGGGCACAGAUCCCACAAAUAGUACCUGGGUGUAUCCAAAGUUAAUUUUGUAAAAAAGCUAGUUUAUUUUUAAAGCUAGCUAAUAUGUAAAUAUNAUUUUUUUUAUAAAAGAAUAUUUACAUAUUUUUAUUUUAAUUUGUGAUAGAUUUAUUAAAAUCUAUUCAGUUAUCUAUCUAUUAAGUUAGAUUUAUUAUAUUUAUUUUAAGUAAGAUUUUAACUAUAUGGAAAAUAGAUAUAAAUGAAAUAGUAACUGAAAUUUAUUAUUUGCUACGGUAAAUAUGAAUCACUAUCAGUACUAUUUUUUAUUUUUAUAAUUCGCGCUUUUAUUAUAAAAGCAGUAUAAGCGAUAUAUGAUUGUUAUUUUUUAUUAUAAAAGUUUAAUGGCUUAAUCUUGCUUUACUGUUUGACUUACACGUCUAUCAGUCGCGUAAGCGGGGCAUAUGAUCACAAGAUGCAUAAAGGAAAGGUCUUGGAUUUUUGAAAAAGCUACGCUAGGGAUAACAGGCUAAUUGCGCCAGAGAGUACAAAUUGAGUGCGCAGUUUGGCACCUCGAUGUCGGCUUAGCUCAUCCACAUGAAUGCAGGAAUCAUGAAGGGUACGACUGUUCGUCGAUUA
rnacentral:rRNA from 1 species